UCGCUGGCUCGUACCUGCCGUGACAUCGCCAAGCACCUCCUGACAGCUGUUGUCCCUUGACCGUCAUCCCCCCUGUACGCCUCCCUACCCCCCACACAGCAGCUCAGGGUCUUCCAGCCUGCACCUAAGGGUUGUAGGAAGGUAAUCCUCUCAACUAACAUUGCAGAGACAUCGAUCACCAUCUCAGGGAUCAAAUACGUGAUUGAUACAGGCAUGGUAAAAGCAAAACGCUUCAACCCAGGUGUAACCUGGCCAGUAUCAUGCUACAGCUUCUGGCUCUGGGGAUUCCUGACGUGAUGAACUUUGAC